rnacentral:tRNA from 1 species
GGGCCCAUAGCUCAGAUGGUGAGAGCAUCCGGCUCAUAACCGGUUGGUCCCUGGUUCGAGUCCAGGUGGGCCCA